GGGCCUAUAGUUCAAUGGUAGAAUUACGGUCUCCAAAACCGUCGAUCAAGGUUCGAAUCCUUGUGGGCCCGCUA
rnacentral:tRNA from 1 species